CAGGAACAGGACGUACUUUAUGGGCAGGCGCACUAGAGGCCUGAUACGUGGGGCUGGUUUUGGAGGCGCCAGCCUAGUAACAUGCACCUCAGGGCUAGUGCGAGGAGCAGGAACAGGGUAAACUGGACCGAGGAGAUGCACUGGUGGCCAGAUGCGCUGCACCGGCGCACUUCUCCCUAGCUGCCGGCUAACUCUCGCCUGGCAAUGCUGCGGAGCCCUUAUUGACCGCACCGGACUGUGCACGCAUAUGGGCAACACAGUGCGUAUCUCCGCAUAACAAGGUGCUUGCUUGAUUCGUCGCUCCCCAUAAUAAGCACUGGGAGUUGGCUCAGGUCUACAUCCUGACUCUGCCCAACUCCCCGUGUGCCCCCAAAAUUUUUGGGGGGUGGAUGCCUCUCGGCCUCAUCUAGCUCCCUUAGGUUCCUCUCCCAGAAACGUCGUUCUACCUCCCACGUCCAUCCUUCUCUUCGGUGCGCCAAUCCCUGCUGCUUGGUCCUUGUUUGGUGCUCCAAUCCCCGCUGCUUGGUCCUUGUUUGGUGCUCCAAUCCCCGCUGUAUGGUCCUUGUUUGGUGCGUGGUUCUGUCAAGGGCGUCGUAAGGAUUGGACCAAAACGCAGCGGGUUGCCAGGAAAGUGAUGUCCCCAGUAGGUAGUAUAACAGAACCGUCUGGCGUGUGUGUGUAACAGUGUAGGUUCCGUCCCUCUCUUCACCCCAACCCGGGCUCGAACCAGGGACUCUUGCACACAUCAACAACUGACACCCACCGAAGCAUCGUUACCCAUCGCGCCACAAAAGCCGCGGCCCUUGCAACGCAAGGGGAAACCCUACUUCAAGUCUCAGAGCGAGUGACGUCACUGAUUGAAACCGCUAACUAACUAGCCAUUUCACAUCGGUUACAUGUGGACAUGUUUAAUUAUGGUUAGGCCCCUUUUUUCUCAAUUUCCGCCUGAAUGACUUGCCCAAAGUAAACUGCCUGUAGCUCAGGCCUGAAGCCAGGAUAUGCAUAUAAUUGGUACCAUUGGAAAGAAAACACUUUAAAUAAUGUAGGAGAGUAUAACACAAUAGAUAUGGUAGGAGAAAAUCCAAAGAAAAACUGACCGAAAUUAUUUUUUCUUUGAGAGACCAUCCUCUUAGAAAUGCAAGAGAAAGGUCAUAUUGUAAAUUAGCUCCCUGGAUGGAAUUCCUACAGCUUCCACAGGGUGUCAGCAGUCUAUGUUCAAGGCUUCAGGCAUGUAACUUCAAAAACUAAUAAGAAAUAACAGUUUUUGUAGAAGGACACAGUCCUGGAAAUCCGUGUUUGCGCGCACCAUGAAGAAAUUUUGGACCUGCUAAAAUCGGUUUCCUACUUAAAUGUACCUAAAUGUUUAAAAUCUAUAAUAUUUAUGAUAAUUUAUUUGAAUUACGCGCCCUACAGUUUCACCGGAAGUUGUCCCGCUAGCGGCACCCCGA
rnacentral:lncRNA from 1 species